CAGGCGUAAAUUAACAACAGGUUGUACAGAGCUCAGCACUAUAAAAUGCUAUUAUGGGAUCAUUGCCUACUGACUGUUGCCUGAGUGUCAGAAUGGAAAAUUAUGGAUCUUAGAGGGAUGUACAGUUGCUGUUUACUUUAAAAUCUAAUAUAAUAGUUUUGUUAUUGAAUCUUUUUCUUUUUGAUGUUUUGUUGAAUGCGGGUUGUUUAUUAUGCUGUUAGUUUGACAACUGUUUGUAUUUUGUACUUUCCUUUGUUAUACUUUUCUUUCUUUUGUAGGUUCUAUUUUGGAUUUGCUUUAUACCAUCAGUGGCCAGUGGGUUCUCUUGGAAAAAAAGGUGGUUGGGAUUGUGUGGUGAUUUGGUCACAUUAUUGAUUUUGUGUUUUAGGUUGCAGUGUGAUUGCUGUGAGUUGAGUGCGGUGAGAACAUUGUUGACACAUCUGUCCUCACUUCCUGAGGAACCAGUGGCCAUUAGUGGUUUGUUUUUUUAUUCUUUUGUUUACUUUCCCUCCUUGUUUACAUUUACGAUUAAGAAUACUUGUAUCUUGUUAUACCAACUUGUAUAAAAACUUUAAUUGUUCUCCUGAUUGUAAGUCACUUCAUUUACCCUGCGCUAACUCGUUUUCACUGAUAACAGUCAUCUGGUCACACAUGUAUUAUCUUUCACACACAAAUUUCUACAGUGGCUUAAUGUAUUACAGUAUUUUUACUAAAAUGUCUUUCCAAAACAAGCAUAAACUAAUAA